CGUUUCCUGCGGUGUUCGAGCAGAGCUGACUGCUUUCGACCCUUAAAUGCACUUCAGGGAUCCGGCCAACCGGCAGCCUUGUGCAUGACCGCCACGAGCGGAAAGCCUGUCCUGCCACGGCCUGUCCCACCUUUCGCUCGGGUCCGAGGGCGACGGUUCGAUACGGCACAGGCGGGAACGCC
rnacentral:other from 1 species